ACUUCGAGACGAAUCCAUAGGAU
rnacentral:miRNA from 1 species